rnacentral:rRNA from 1 species
UGGGACCCACCAGAGCCGGAUAUUUUGAAAAUCAAUAUGGAUGGCUGCUUUCUGCCGGACGUGGGAGCUGGAGGUUGGGGGUUCAUCAUCAAGGAUUCGUCAGGGGAAGCUGUGGGUUCAGGAGCUGGGAAAGUGCAUGCUCUAAAGGACCCGAUGCAGGCAGAGGCGGAAGCUUGCUGUGAAGCGCUGCAAGCAGCGCAAGGAUGGGGUAUGUCUCGGCUCAUUAUUGAGAGCGAUGCCAAGGAGCUGGUGAGGGCCCUCGACUCUAAUGCGUACGACAUCUCAUCAAGUGGUGUGUUGUUCAGGGAGAUCAAGGCAUUUGUUUCUUUAAACUUUUCAGUCUUUUUAGUUGUUUAUGCCCCUAGAAACUGUAAUAAGGUAGCUCAUGACCUAGGGACUUAUGGUUCAAAGAUGGACACAGAACCCCAAGCCGUAUGGCCGGGCGGUGCACCUACCUUCAUCCAGAACCUGAUUGCCGACGACCUAGUUUGGCUCUCGUUGAGUAAUGGAAAGUUUAUUCCAUGUCAAAAAAAGCCAUGGUAUUAG